CAAUCGGCCCUUUUCAGGGCCAACAAAUGUUUUUUAAAGAGUUUUUU
rfam:Aedes aegypti strain Liverpool supercont1.266 genomic scaffold, whole genome shotgun sequence.